UGUCAUUCAUCAUAACGUGUUUCAGAUAAUAAAAGUACACAACACUUUAAAGGUUACUGCAUGAUGGGUCAAAGGAGUUGACUCAGAAUGAGGUUGAUUCCUCAAAAUAUGUUAUAUCUCAUGAAAACAAGAACAAAAUGAGAGAGACUAAGAAGAUUUUUGAGUGGGUCUUGAAACAACCAUGUUUGGUGUAAGCAUCCUUCAUGUAUUUUUAAAUAAGCUUGACAUAUUUGAGAAGAAGAUUCCUAUUCAAGGUUUGUGAGUGGUUCACGAAUUACAAGCCAGUUAGAGAUUAAGCAUGCGUAUGAGUUUAUGAAGAAAAAGUAUGAGGAAUUAUAUAUCUAAGGCACUACUCCUAAACGUGUUUGACAUUGAAUCAACUAGCUAGGAUCUACAUCUACUGUUCUAAGUUUAAGCCUGAAUAAUUCUGAACAGUCCCCCAAAAAUCAAGGACAACCCCUAACUAAAAUGGGUUUGCUGCGGAUGAAGCUGGAGGAAGCAAACAAGGAGAAUAAGAGUUUAAGGCCUAUGAUAAAUCAGAUUAAUGAACACUAUACUGUUCUUCAGAACCGUUUACUUUUGGCAAUGCAGCAACACCAAUUAUCUUCAUCUCGUAGUCAUCAUGACAUGCAGUGAAGAUUUCUACAGAAGGAAUCUAUAAUGCUGGUACAGAGGCCUUGUGUAUGGUAGGGUGUCGUAAUCUUCCAUCAACCCGUGGGGCACCAAUAACUCAUUCUGUGGACUGUGAGGUUCUAGUGAAGUUUCAGAUCCCAUCAUUAGAUACAAACAUGAAGCCAAAGAACUCAUCACGAGUAUGCUAAUGAAACUAACAGCCGUAGUAUGGAGGAGCUUGCUCAGUGAAUGUAGAGUUUCAGGUCAUGGCAAUUUCAUGCUACCCUGCAGAUAGUGGAUCAUAUAUAUUACUUUCAAAUAUUUUUGCAUCAAGAAGGGCAACAUAUAGCAACCAUAAGCCAAUGAUGAAGUUACCAUAAGCAAUAGAAAGUCCAACUAUACCAAUGAGAGUGACAGUAAAUGAGAUAUACAUCAGAAAUUCCUAUCUGUUGAGCUAUCCUAAUUUCAGUUACACAUCAUCAUUAUUGGCAUAAAUUAGGAGUCCUAAAAGGGAAAUUGAAGAUGAUAAUAGAGUCAGUUGCUAAUGUCCAAAGGUCAUUCAGAUGAAACAGUAUUAUGCUCAUUUCAGUUACACUCAAAAGUAAUAAGCAUAAAUAAAGGUAGUUAUUGAGCAAUCAGAGUAAUAUUGAGUCACCAAAAGCAAUCAGGAGUCACUAGAGAGGCAAGAAUCAAAGGACUUUCAGUUACACAAUUAUUAUCAGCAUAAAGAGCCAUGAUAAGCAAGAGUAACCAGAUGAAUAGAAUGAGUCACAUGACUCUAUAAAUUAAACAACAAUUCAGAUACGGCAGGCAUUACAACACAGAUAUACACAACCAUAAGAAAAUAAAAGAGAAAACAGAUUACACAUAUACAAUACAGAGAGACCAUCGUCACAAGUAAGCAGAGAGCAUACACACACAUAUCAUACAAACAUAUAUACAUGCGUAUCGCACAUAUAUCUACGAUAACAAGCCAUCUAUCUAUACAUACAACGUACUGAAAUCAAUCUUACCUUGUCCUCUAUCUUGUCUUUAACGCAAAACGGAUCAACGUCACUUUCCUCCGCCCUUAAAUCAGAGCCACCUGGUUCUUGGGUUGAGAACCAAAGCGAUACACCAACAAUCAUUGUCUAGCCCCGCUACGAAGGCGAGAUAGUCAGCCUCCACGCCUGAACCAGGAUCAUCGCCGGAGAAGAGGGUCACCUAGUCUCGGUGUCGCGGUGAUACUGAUCGAGAACCACCGCAAAUCCUUGCUCAUCGUUGCCGCCGCCGAAGUGAAAGGAGAAAAGGAGGGAGGAAGUGGCUUGGUUUAGGGAUUCCUUUCCCUUUGUUGUGCGGAAUUCUUCUUGAGAGCUGCAUCGUUCCCGUCUCCUGCGUCGGAGAACAAACCACCAUCGUGAAAACAUCUCCACCGCCGCUGAUUAGGAAGAACGAGGAAAAGAGGAAUUGGGGAUAUCUUCCAAAACUAACGCGAGGUAAUAAGGAGCAACCCUGCACCCUUUGGCUAAUUCCGUUCCGGCCGAGAGUGAUUCCCUUUGCUGGAACCAUGAGGAUGAAGAGGAGAAGUGAAGAAGAUGGUGAAGCAUUAAGGACUCAUGUGCAGGCAAGGAAUUAGGGAUUUAAAUCCCUUUCCUUUAAAUUUGUGCGUGCCUUUAC
rnacentral:lncRNA from 1 species